GGUCCUACGGGGGGCAGCAGUAGGGAAUCUUCCACAAUGGGCGCAAGCCUGACCCAGCAACGCCGCGUGAAGGAAGAAGGCUUUCGGGUUGUAAACUUCUUUUCUCAGGGACGAAGCAAGUGACGGUACCUGAGGAAUAAGCCACGGCUAACUACGUGCCAGCAGCCGCGGUAAUACGUAGGUGGCAAGCGUUAUCCGGAUUUACUGGGUGUAAAGGGCGUGUAGGCGGGAAAGCAAGUCAGAUGUGAAAACCAUGGGCUCAACCCGUGG
rnacentral:rRNA from 1 species